ACGCUCGACACCUACGGGGGCAGCAGUGGGGAAUAUUGCACAAUGGGGGAAACCCGUGAUGCAGCGAUGCCGCGUGAAGGAAGAAGUAUCUCGGUAUGUAAACUUCUAUCAGCAGGGAAGAAAAUGACGGUACCUGACUAAGAAGCCCCGGCUAACUACGUGCCAACAGCCGCGGUAAUCUGAGCGGGCGUGGCGAAGGC
rnacentral:rRNA from 1 species